AAGAGCAAAAUUAUCCAGUUGCAGGAACUUAGGUGGCAGCUGAGCAGAUGUUUUGUGGAUCACCGUGAUGCCUAAAAACAGGUCUUAGGUGCCCAAGUACCUUUGUGGAUCCAGGCCUUGAAAGACACACACCAGGAGUAUCCCAUCAAUAACAGCCCAUCUCUUUUUUGUUAGCGUUUAGUUUAAGAAAUCCUCAUAAAUGGAUAAUGAAAAGCCAAUUCUGUAAUGCUGUUGCAGAUGGGCAGAGGACAGAUUAAGGCAGAAUCCUUAUGUCUAAGGGGUGCCUGAUACUAUGGUGAGUCAGUAAGAAAUCCUGAGUCAUUCACACUUUAUAUCAAGGGUGCGUUUAUGAACCGUUUAUAAAAGAUUAAUAAUUAAUGAAUAUCAUAGGCAUAUUAAAGGCAUGAAAAGUUAUUAUAGAUAGUUACAAUCUAUUGAUCUGUUGGCCUCUAACAAUUGACUAACCAUGUAUUAAAAACAUCAAUUAAUCAUUUAUUAACCCCUUAUAAACUAUUUAUAAAAUGGACCCUUAAUAUAAGGUGUUGGGGAAUUGGAAUAAAAAUAAUACUUAGAGCUAAGUAUUAUACAGCACUUUUUAUGCAUGGAUCUUAAAACACCUGACUAAGGAGAGUAAAUAGCAUCAUUCCCAUGCUACAGGUGGGGAAAACGGAGGCCCAGAGAGGUGACAUGGGAGGAAGUAUCAUGGCAGAAGAUGAGAAGUUGAGAUCUUACUGAAUCCAGAGACUGUCCAGUUUGGCCAACGUACAUGGCAGUGACUGUCACAGAAAACUUGACCCUUAAAGGAAAACAAAUGUCUACCUCAUGUUCUCUUUGAGAGAAACUGGCCAGUUAACCUGAUUGAACUCAGGCACCAUCUUACACGCCUUGGAGUUAAAAAUUCAUUGGAAGGAAGUAUCACUUGUUUGACACCUAUACUUGUGGUGUGGAAGCAUAAAGGGACUGAUUCUCUACACCACUAUCCUAGUUUUACACUGCUACAGAUGCACUGAUUUAUCUGGAAAUAAC